GACGAACGCUGGCGGCGUGCUUAACACAUGCAAGUCGAACGGAAAGGCCCUGCUUUUGUGGGGUGCUCGAGUGGCGAACGAGUGAGUAACACGUGAGUAACCUGCCCUUGACUUUGGGAUAACUUCAGGAAACUGGGGCUAAUAUCCGAUAGGAGCUCCUGCGGCAUGGUGGGGGUUGGAAAGUUUUGGCGGUUGGGGAUGGACUCGCGGCUUAUCAGCUUGUUGGUGGGGUAGUGGCUUACCAAGGCUUUGACGGGUAGCCGGCCUGAGAGGGUGAACGGCCACAUUGGGACUGAGAUACGGCGCAGACUCCUACGGGAGGCAGCCGUGGGGAAUAUUGCACAAUGGGAGGAAGCCUGAUGCAGCAACGUCGCGUGCGGGAUGACGGCCUUCGGGUUGUAAACAGAUUUCGCCUGUGACGAAGCGUGAGUGACGGUAAUGGGUAAAGAAGCACCGGCUAACUACGUG
rnacentral:rRNA from 1 species